CAGGCAGAGACGAGACACCUGGUUAUGACAGGUGCCUUACGAGACAGAUGUGUCCAGCUGUGGAAGAAAAGGGCCAGGCCAAGGAGGGCGAGGAGUGAUGCUUCCGAGGCCUGCAUCUGAGAGGUGCCACUGCCCUGUAGGGUGGCCCGUAGCUAGCAGAGCUGCUUCUCAGGAGGGGCAGGGCCUGAGCUGGCUGGGUCAGUGGAUCCCGGGGCAAGGUGGUGUUGACAGCGACCAGGAUCUUGAGAGGCUCAGCAGAAGCCGACUGGCCUCGUGGGUGGAGUAUCCCAAGGCCACCCAAGCAAAGGCUCCCCUUGGGGCAGGCCUUCCUGCCGGGGGUCGCAGGGAUCCUGAAGCCUCUGCAAACCCAGAGGAAGGCAGGACGGCAGGACGGCAGGACGGAGCGACGGCUGGCGAGCCUCUAAGGCCCCAACUCCCCACCUGUGCUGUCGGCCGAUCCCUCCCAGGACCCUUGGCCACUUGCUUGGGAUGCUCGCGAGGUUCCCUUCCAGGACUCCUGUCUGUCACCAGGCUCGCCACUGCCCACCUGAGCAGACAGACCAGGCAACCACGCGGAGAAACGUGCGGGAUGGAUUUGAACCCUAAGAUGUGGCCACUGCCUCAAAGCAGGAGAGUGUCCCUGAGUCCCUGUGUUCUGGCCCAGG